CAGCAGCCGCGGGAAUACGAAGGGUGCAAGCGUUAAUCGGAAUUACUGGGCGUAAAGCGUGCGUAGGCGGUGAGUUAAGUCUGCUGUGAAAUCCCCGGGCUCAACCUGGGAAUGGCAGUGGAUACUGGCUCGCUAGAGUGUGUCAGAGGAUGGUGGAAUUCCCGGUGUAGCGGUGAAAUGCGUAGAGAUCGGGAGGAACAUCAGUGACGAAGGCGGCCAUCUGGGACAACACUGACGCUGAGGCACGAAAGCGUGGGGAGCAAACAGGAUUAGAUACCCCGGUAGUCCCUGUCUCUUAUAC
rnacentral:rRNA from 1 species